rnacentral:rRNA from 1 species
UACGAAGGGGGCAUAGCGUUGCUCGGAAUCGACUGGGCGUAAAGGGUGCGUAGGCGGGUCUUAAGUCAGGGGUGAAAUCCUGGAGCUCAACUCCAGAACUGCCUUUGAUACUGAGGAUCUUGAGUUCGGGAGAGGUGAGUGGAACUGCGAGUGUAGAGGUGAAAUCGUAGAUAUUCGCAAGAACACCAGUGGCGAAGGCGCU